GACAGAGGGUGCAAACGUUGCUCGGAAUCACUGGGCGUAAAGGGCGUGUAGGCGGGAAGGAAAGUCGGGCGUGAAAUCCCUGGGCUCAACCCAGGAACUGCACUCGAAACUUCUUUUCUUGAGUUGCCGGAGAGGAAAGCGGAAUUCCUGGUGUAGAGGUGAAAUUCGUAGAUAUCAGGAGGAACACCAGUGGCGAAGGCGGCUUUCUGGACGGUAACUGACGCUGGAGAAGCGGAAAAGCAUUGG
rnacentral:rRNA from 1 species